rnacentral:rRNA from 1 species
CAGCAGCCACGGGAAUACGUAGGUGGCAAGCGUUGUCCGGAAUUAUUGGGCGUAAAGGGCUCGCAGGCGGUUUCUUAAGUCUGAUGUGAAAGCCCCCGGCUCAACCGGGGAGGGUCAUUGGAAACUGGGAAACUUGAGUGCAGAAGAGGAGAGUGGGAUUCCACGUGUAGCGGUGAAAUGCGUAGAGAUGUGGAGGAACACCAGUGGCGAAGGCGACUCUCUGGUCUGUAACUGACGCUGAGGAGCGAAAGCGUGGGGAGCGAACAGGAUUAGAUACCCCUGUAGUCCCUGUCUCUUAUAC